GAGAGGUUGUGCUCAUGCAUCGAAGAUGCAUAUAGGAAUAGCACAACCGACCUGUCGCCGAACGUAUGUGAGGGGACAACACCAAUA
rfam:Coprococcus sp. CAG:782 genomic scaffold, scf114